rnacentral:lncRNA from 1 species
AAGACACUCGAGUUCAGACAAAGCAACACAACAAUGCCUGUUGAUGCAGGCUUCCCAAGUAUUGUUUGUUGGAAAGCAAACCAAAUUCCAAAUCUUGUGCUUUUGACAUGCUUCACCUCAAAUGUGAGAACUGAAAUUCAGGUACCUUAAACAUGUCCUGAGAUGCAAAACACGAGCACCUUCUCGAGGACUCUGGUAUCAUUCUUUCUCACGUCACCACCUUGAACCGCAGAUAGCCAAAACACUGUCAGUGCUUUCCCUCUGAUGCUGCAGUUUUAGAGAGUAUUAUGCAUAUUGCAGAUGUGGUUUUCUUGCACUAGAUUGAAAAAAAAAAAAAAAAUCUUAUUAAAAAUGUAAAAGGAUUUCAGGUUUCUGUGCAUACUCAGAGAAAACAGAAACGUCAACAACAAACAUGCCAUCUGAACAACACGGAAGGACCUCUGUCCCAUGGGCAUAAUAGAUGUUUUAUUAAUAACAUGUUUUUAUGUAUUUUUCUCAUUUCCCAAAAUAGGGGGAAGAAAAGAAUGGUUUUUGAAAUCAAAACAUCUCCCCGGCUGGACAACUGAACACCCUCCCCAAAGCACGAGAAAUCAAACUAGGACCUGUACUUUUGGUGCUGCUGCAGAAAUUUGUGAAAUGCAAAUAAAGAUGAAGGCUGAUUUCAGAAGCAAUACCACCUUUCCCCAAGAUCAUCAUCAGAUGCUAGGUAAAUAUUGCUUUGUAACAAGUAGAGAAGAGAGGUGAUCCUUGAUAUCUGUGGUCUAAGGGGCUGCAUGCCAAGCCAGGAGAGUGCUGUACCUUCUGCUCAGGCAGCCCUGCAGUGGCUGGCAUUACAAGAAACUCCAUAAAAACUCUUUCUGAGAUGUAGAGAUUCCCUUUGACUCACAUAAAUCUUUAAUUGCUUCAGAGCCCAAAUACUUUCUACACAACCAAACCUUAGAUUUUACCUUGUGGACAAAAUCUUUUUUAAUCCCUUCUUAUCUGUACAGCUGGGGAUUCAUUCAUAAAAGAUUUUGAGCAUUUGACCCCAAGCAUGCCCCAGUGCAGAAGGAAUCUAUCAC